AUGGUAUCUUUUCUUGAGGCAUUUGGAAGCAAAGCUAGCAUCUUUCUAACAUUAAUUGGGUGUACAUAUGAUUUUUCUCAAAAGAAAAACCUGGAGCAAAAACAAAGAAAUUUACAGCAGAAAAUCUGGGAGAUCGAGUCAGAUCUUCAGCAGUUGAUAAAAGAUGUGAAGAUCCAUAAGAGUUUCAAUGGAGGGCCUGUAAUACAGCAUUUGGAUUUGUCUAAAUUCAGUACCACAUCUUCAAGCCCCCUCCCCCCUCCCCAUCAUCAUUAUGAUGAUAUAAGGAAAUCAGUUUCUUUGCUAAAAGAAAAACUUGAAGGUUUCUGCAAAGAGGAGAUAGAAAAGAUAUCUGGUACAGGUAAAAUACUGGAGCUCUCUCUCUCUAUACACACAGACACACAGACACACUCACACACACAGACACACAUAAUUAAUAUGUCUUUUGGUUUCCAUAGUGCAAAACAAUGAGAUCAUUCAAGAGGUGAAACAAUGUAAGUGUCACUAGGAAAGUACACACACACACACACACACACACAUACACUGCAUCUUCUAUGAUUUUUAUUUCUUCAUGCUCAUUAAAAAUCAGAAAUCAUAGAAAGUAUAAAAAACUGUAAUUCUUAGAACUUUGCCUUUUCACUUCAGAUCUAGAUCAGGUUUUUAUUUAGUUCAGUUGGGCUGACAAGUCAUUAUUUUCCUUUGUAAGAUUCACACAUUUCCUGUUUCAGUGGAACAGGCAAAAGUGAUAUUAGGAAUAGGAAUCAAAGUGAUAUAGAUUUGGCUGGUUUGAUUCCUCAAUGUGAUUACUCUAAUCGAUAAUUUGCCCUUCACUGAGCUGUAUAUAUUCUGGUCUGCAUAGGUUCCUUCUGUGUUAUUUAACAAAUAAACUGUGUCAGAAAAGAGAGACA
ensembl:lncRNA